rnacentral:lncRNA from 1 species
AUUCAUUUCGAUUCAUCGACAACAUUUCAUUACAUACAAAAUAUGCUUAUACAACAAUAGCAUAACAACCAACAAGACUUGCCCAUAAUUCUGAAUAGCUCUCCACUGCCUCAGCCCAAUUCAAACAUCUCAAAAAGUGACAAGCUGACCUGAAAGAUUUUAUAUAACAACAGAGUGAGCUAAAAACAACUCAGCAAGUGACAAAGCAUAUUCAGAACAAAAGGAACGAUUUCAAACAAGUAAGGUAUCAUAAUACAAGACAGAAUACAAGAAUUCUCAAUGAUACCAUCUCAUUAGAUACAAAAUUAUAUGUAUCAUUUCAAUCAAAACAUAUUUGGUUCCAAAACAAAUGGAGCAUAUCAAUAGCGUAGGAAAUGUUCCGGAGCAUAUCAAUGGCAUAUGGAACAUUUCGGAGUAUGCUAAUAACAGAUGAAACAUUUCGGAGCAAAACAACAAUGAAUGAAAUAUUUCGGAGCAUAUCAAUAACAAAUGAAAUGUUUCAAAGCUUAUCAAUGGCAUAUGAAAUGUUCCGGAGCAUAUCAAUGGCGUAUGGAACAUUUCGGAGCAUAUCAAUAAUGAAUGAAACAUUUCGGAGCAUAUCAAUAACAAAUGAAACAUUUCAGAGCUUAUUAAUGGCAUAUGAAAUGUUCCGGAGCAUAUCAACGGCGUAUGGAACAUUUCGGAGCAUAUCAAUAAUUAAUAAAAUAUUUUGGAGCAUAUCAAUAACAAAUGAAACGUUUUGGAGCUUAUCAAUGGCAAAUGAAACGUUUCGGAACAUAUCAAUGGCAUAUGGACCAUUUCGGAGCAUAUCAAAGAACGAAUAUGAAACAAAAGCUCAAACGUCGAAUUUGACGUUGCAUUCAUAUCAUUCUUAUCCAAAGCAUGUAUAGAAACACAUAACCAAAGCUCUCGAUAUUAUAUUAAACAUAUAGAAGGUGAAGUGGGACCAUAACAUAAUAUGGUACAUCCAUUUCUGAAUGACCACCAAACAUAAGUCUCCCACGUCUGGGAGCUCCAUCCACCCACGUCUGAGUGAAGUCAUAAGGGCCGGCAGAGCAUCACAAGCUCUAUGCAUAACUCCCUUCACCAUUUCUAGCAAAGGUUCACAAUAUCCCACAAACACUAGAGUACAAAAGGAUAGUAUGAACAAUAAAUAGCACAUAUCGGAAGCACACACGGAACAACAAAACGUACAUGUACCUUUACGAGUCAAUACGAAGUAAGCAAUAAUCCUUCACAAUUGUAUUCAGAUUUGAAAGGAAAUGAAAGCAAGAGCAUUCAAGGAUUCCAAGCAAUCACAUAUAACUCAAUUCAAAUAAGAAGGUUAGAUGAAUUCAAUGUCCAAAGGAAUGAAACUGGAAUAGGCACAUAUCGAAAGCAAAUGUGGAACAAUGGGAUAUACAUGUGCCUAUAUGAGUCAAUACGAUAUAGCAUAAACGUUAUACAAUAUUUUUCAAGAAUGCAAAUAAUUUUAAGGACAAGAGCAUACAAGAAUUCAAAGCAGUAAUAUAAAGCUCAAUUGAAUAAGAAAGCUAAAGGAUAUCAAUUUCCAAAGGAAUGAAACCAGAAUAUGCGAAAUUGACCAAAGCUCGAUUUCUGGCGGAAUUCAAGAGGCACAUUGAACAAAUGAUUCAAACUAUCAAUCGUGCUCCAAUUUACUCAGAAAUAUAUCAUUGGAAAGAUAUUUCAAUCUACUUUCAGAUAAAAUAAGCUUCAUAUGAAUUGAACUGUCCAAUAGAGAGUUACAAAUAAUUUGGUAAACAAGGGUCGGAGAACAAAAUCUCUAUUUGGCAGAAUUCAUAAGGUCAUAUUCAAUAGAUAACUUUGUAGGUGUUGUUAGGAUCAAGAGCACUAAGAGGGGGGGGUGAAUUAGUGCAGCAAAAAACUUUCGACGAUUAAAAUCGCGUUCAUGCGAUAAGAGCGACUUCGGUGUGAAAGCUGAUUCUAAGAUUACUUUAACUUAAGAUCAAGCGAGAUGACGUUAAAGUAAAUCUAUGAAGGCAAUUUGCAGUUAUGAUGAAGAUCAGAAUAUAAGCACAAACUGAAAUACGACGUUCGUACGAUAAAAGCGAUUUUGGUAUGAAAGCCGAUUCGUAAACCACUUUAACUUGAGAUGAAGUGAGAUGUAGUUAAAGCACAGAUAUAAAGGCAGUUUGCAGUUAUGAUAGAAAUCAGAACGUAAGUGCAAACUGAAAUAUGAUGUUCGUACGAUAAAACUGAUUUGCGUCUAAACGCCGAUUCGGAAUGCACUGAACUAUGAAACACGUUCGUAAAAGCACAGAAGGCAGUAAGCUAUUGAGGAGGUUUGUAGUAAAGAUAAGAUGCUCAAAGUAAACGCAAACCGAGAUUUAGAGUGGUUCGGUCAAUCUUGACCUACUCCACUUUUGGUUUCCUCCACCGACGAGGUCACCGACGUCAACUAGAGGCCUUCUUUCAAUAGGCGAAGGCCAACCACCCUUUUACAGUUUCACUCCUUUUGACGGGCUUAGGAGACAACCCUUACAAAAUUUUCUCUCCUCUCUUUAAAGCUCAGAACUUAGAAGAAAAGAGGGAGAAGAACUUUUGGCCUUUACAACAAUUUUGAGCUCUAAAAAUCACAGAACAAGAACAAGAUUUCGGUGUAUGUUCAAUACUCUUUCAGUGCUGAAUGGGUGGGGUAUUUAUAAGCCCCAACCCAGUUCAAAUUUGGAGCUCAAAACUAUCAAUUUCCGGAAUUCCGGGAUCUGGCGGUUGCACCUCUUGACUGGAGCGGUUGCACCGCCUGGCAAAGCUCGAAGACUGAGCCUCUGGGCUGUGCCACCUCCUGUCAGGGGCGGUUGCACCUCCUGCCAGAGCUCGAAGACCGAGCUCAGGCGGUGCCUCCUCUUGACUGAGGAGGUUGCACCGCUCAGCCAGAGCUCGGAGACCGAGCCCAGGCGGUGCCACCUCCUGUCAAGGGAGGUUGCACCGCCUAGUCUCGCUCGGAGACUAAGCCCAGGCGGUGCCACCUCCUGGCUGGGGCGGUUGCACCGCCUAGUCUCGCUCGGAGACUUAGCCCAGGCGGUGCCACCUCCUGGCUUGGGCGGUUCAACCGCUUGGCAGAAAUCAGGGUUCGAAUGGGUUGAUCCAUUCGGCCCAAUUUGGGUUUUUCAGGGGCCCAAUUGCCCCAAGAUUAAGUUAAUGGGAUCACCUCCCAUUUCCAACUUAAUCAUUGUGCUAACUACGAUUUUUCCUAAGACAUUUACUACAACUUGCUCUGGUGCGUCAAUCGCUUCUUCCUGCGAGCUUCCGGCGAACUUCCGUCGAUCAUCCGAUGAACCCUCGGUGAUGCUCCUGCAGACUUCCGGCAAACUCCUGGACUUGCGACAAUCCACUUGGCGAGUUCCGACGAGCUUCUUUGGCAAGCUCAUGGACUUCUCGGAUUUGUUCCCGUAGAACCUCCGACGACUGUCCGAACUUCCGUCGAACUCUCGAACUCCCAACGUGAUCAUUGUCUUGACUCCGGCGCAACUCUUACUGCAUGUCUUUCUUCUAUCGUAGUUAAUCCUGCACACUUAAAACAAAACUUCGAUCGAGACAAUUAAUCCUACGCAAUUAACCAAGUUGUCCGGCUUGUCAUUGGUCCCUCGACGCUUCGUCCGAUUCUUCGGCGCAUCGUCCUCUCCUGCAGCCUAUUGCCCAAUCGGCCUGUUGACUCCGUAACUCCGAUAUCCUUGGCACAAUACCCGCUCUUCUUGGCUCGAUGCCCGAGUCCAUGGCCCGAAGCCUUCUGUCGAUACGUCGACCGAUCCACUGGCCCGACGUCCAAUCUUCUGACAUGUUCCUCCAGCACAACAUGAUUUUCCUGCUUUAAUUGUCUCAUCCUGAUCGAAGCAUCCUACGUCACUCAAAACGCAGAUUAAAUCAUAAACAUAUAUCAAGUAGUUUCAUCAUCAAAAACGAGAUUCAAUAGGUGUUUGGACUCCAAAUCUUUCAAUUCAUAUAUCAAAAGAAAGUUCUACGAGUCUAGUUUCUAAUGAAAUCAGUUUUGAACAAAUCAGAGUUUCCAACAUUGAUUUAUUGGCAGCUCGGUAUCAAAAGGUCAGAAAUUACAAUCCCUGCUUUACAGAAUCUGUAGGCUCAUUUGAAACAUAAGUCUGGGUAGGCAAACUUACUCUGAAUUCUUAAAAUAAGCUAUUAAAAGAAAGGUUUAUGAGUCUAUAUUCUGAUCAAAUAAGUUUUAUCCAAAUCAGAGGUCAAUAAUGAAGUUAUAACCAUAACAAGGUAGAAAGGUCAGAAUCUUAGAAGUUGCACAGAUUCGAAUUGUUACAUCUAAACAGGAGAUAUAUCAAAUGCAAGGCUAGAACAAUUCAAAGUUCCUCAUAUUCAAAGCAAAUGUAUAGAUAAAAUUAUAGUAAGGAAAGAUCAGGACACUUGCAAUAGGAAAUAUUAGAAAGGUUGCAAUAGGAAGGAUCGGAACACUUACCUUUCAAAGAUUUUGAUCCGAAGAUCCAAAAAAGGUGUCAGCCCAAAUCCUUC